UACGGAGGGGGCUAGCGUUGGUCGGAAUUACUGGGCGUAAAGCGCACGUAGGCGGCGAUUCAAGUCAGAGGUGAAAGCCCGGGGCUCAACCCCGGAACUGCCUUUGAAACUAGAUCGCUAGAAUCUUGGAGAGGUCAGUGGAAUUCCGAGUGUAGAGGUGAAAUUCGUAGAUAUUCGGAAGAACACCAGUGGCGAAGGCGACUGACUGGACAAGUAUUGACGCUGAGGUGCGAAAGCGUGGGGAGCAAACAGG
rnacentral:rRNA from 1 species